GUCACAAAACUAACUACAUAAAGUCAAACCGAUCAUAAACUGUACUAGUGAUUUUUUGAGUUUCUCACACAUAACUCAACCUAUAAGGUUUAUCAAACAACUACAAAGUAUUUUUUGGUAAUCAACUCAAACAUGCGUCUUCGUUGUGUCGUGUUGUUUGCAAUUUAUUCCUUUGGCCUCAUCAUUUUAUUAGAUGCUAAGUGUGCCCUGGAAGAUAAAUCCAAAGAGCUGCAGUUUUUGAAGCAGUACGAGGUGGCGGAAAAGGAGUGGAAGUACCAGGAUUGUGACGAAAAUAAUUUCGUGGAGUUAACCUAUCCACCUCUAGUUAAUCUUAAACGCAGGCUUCUUGAGGCUAAUUUAACCAGAUUUUUUUUAUUCGAUAACAGUACUGGUCGUUAUAACACAAGCAAAUUAGAUCCAAAUUAUCUUGUUACCCUUUGGAGAGAACAACAGAUAAUAGUUGUCUAUGGAGAAUGUCAAGUAGCAAGCAAACUAUUGAUAAGUGUUGCAAAAUUUAUGGUUCUCGGAUUAAUGAAUGAUGAACUAAUAAAUAAUGGUGAGUCCAUCAUAACCAUGGAAGGAGUGGAUAUUUUAUGGGAAAAUACUCAGGAAUUCACAGGCGAUGAAAAAGAGAGACUUCUAAAUCAAAUAAAAGUGGAAAUGACUAUUAUGCUAGGACUGCCGGGUAAUAAAUGUUUUUAGCAAGUUAUGAAAUUACUUCAACAUUCGAUAAGAUUCGAUAUUGAUUAAAUAUAAAAUGUUUCAGUUUUAUUUUCAAAAACCAAAUCUCUGACGAUACAAUGCGUGACAGGACAACUUGCCAACGUCUUAUCGUGAUCACAUAUAUAUUCUGUUACAGGUGUCGAAGCACCUCAGAUAAACGAAGGUAACCACUAAUCACAGUUUUACAUGUAUAUUUAUAGAGGUACAGCUUGGUUAAUUAUGAACAAGUUCAACCAAAAAUGGGCAAGUUUUUGUUUUAGAAAUUCUGAGACUAGUCUCAUUGCUACGCUCAAAAAAUGGAAAUACAAAAACAAUUUUCAGGGUGAAAAAGAUCCAGAUUUUGCAAUUUAUCUCAAUAUGCGUCAUUUAAUAGGUUUAUUCAGAGUAAUUGAAAAUCUAACUUUAUAUAUAGUAACUUCUGGUAUCGAUGGUGUAAAUUGUUGUAUAUCGGCUAUAAACCGCAUAUACUUCAAAUACAGAUACUUUGAUGGAAAUUAUUAUGAAGUUGACAAUUAUG